rnacentral:rRNA from 1 species
GAGGGGCUGCUCCUAGUACGAGAGGACCGGAGUGGACGAACCUCUGGUGUUCCGGUUGUCACGCCAGUGGCAUUGCCGGGUAGCUAUGUUCGGAAAAGAUAACCGCUGAAAGCAUCUAAGCGGGAAACUUGCCUCAAGAUGAGAUCUCACUGGAACCUUGAGCCCCCUGAAGGGCCGUCGAAGACUACGACGUUGAUAGGCAGGGUGUGUAAGCGCUGUGAGGCGUUGAGCUAACCUGUACUAAUUGCCCGUGAGGCUUGACCAU